rnacentral:rRNA from 1 species
UACGAGGGGGGCAAGCGUUGUUCGGAAUUACUGGGCGUAAAGCGCGUGUAGGCGGUUGUCCAAGUUGGAUGUGAAAUCCUUGAGCUCAACUCAAGAAAUGCAUUCAGGACUGGAUGACUAGAGGACCGGAGAGGAUAGUGGAAUUCCCAGUGUAGUGGUGAAAUACGUAGAGAUUGGGAAGAACACCAGUGGCGAAGGCGGCUAUCUGGACGGUUUCUGACGCUAAGACGCGAAAGCGUGGGGAGCAAACAGG